UACGGGGGGAGCAAGCGUUGUUCGGAUUUACUGGGCGUAAAGGGCGCGUAGGCGGUCAGCACAAGUCAGUUGUGAAAUCUCCGGGCUUAACUCGGAAAGGUCAACUGAUACUGUGCGACUAGAGUGCAGAAGGGGCAACUGGAAUUCUCGGUGUAGCGGUGAAAUGCGCAGAUAUCAGGAGGAACACCGGUGGCGAAGGCGGGUCUCUGGGCCGAUACUGACACUGAGGAGCGAAAGCGUGGGGAGCGAACAGG
rnacentral:rRNA from 1 species